rnacentral:rRNA from 1 species
GCAUGCAAGUCGAACGACGCAUACCGGAGGGGUAACCCACUGGUAUGACGGAGUGGCGAACGGGUGAGUAACACGUGAGCAACCUGCCCCACAGACCGGGACAGCCCAGGGAAACCUGGAUUAAUACCGGAUAUCCUCGGAGGAUCGCAUGAUCCAUCGAGGAAAUACCUUUGUGCUGUGGGAUGGGCUCGCGACUUAUCAGCUAGUUGGUGGGGUAACGGCCUACCAAGGCGUCGACGAGUAGCUGGUCUGAGAGGACGAUCAGCCACACUGGGACUGAGACACGGCCCAGACUCCUACGGGAGGCAGCAGCAGGGAAUCUUGCGCAAUGGACGAAAGUCUGACGCAGCAACGCCGCGUGGGGGAUGAAGGCCUUCGGGUUGUAAACCCCUUUCAGGAGGGAAGAAAUUGACGGUACCUCCAAAAGAAGCACCGGCCAACUACGUGCCAGCAGCCGCGGUAAUACGUAGGGUGCGAGCGUUAUCCGGAAUCAUUGGGCGUAAAGAGCUCGUAGGCGGUUCAGCAAGUCGGCUGUGAAAGUCCGAGGCUUAACCUCGGAAGUGCAGUCGAUACUGCUGUGACUCGAGUCCGGUAGAGGAGAAUGGAAUUCCCGGUGUAGCGGUGAAAUGCGCAGAUAU